rfam:Triticum aestivum genome assembly, contig: Triticum_aestivum_CS42_TGACv1_scaffold_485360_6AS
UGAGUACUCCCUCCGCCCGAAAAAGCCUGUCCCAAGCUUGUUUUUGAAAUGGAUGUAUCUAGCUUUACCUUGGUGCUAGAUACAUUCAUUUGAGGGACAAGCUUUUUCUGACAGAGGGAGUAUUCA